GAUGAAGAACGUAGCGAAAUGCGAUAAGUAGUGUGAAUUGCAGAAUUCAGUGAAUCAUCGAAUCUUUGAACGCACAUUGCGCCCCUUGGUAUUCCAUGGGGCAUGCCUGUUCGAGCGUCAUUUGUACCUUCAAGCUUUGCUUGGUGUUGGGUGUUUGUCUCGCCUUUGCGUGUAGACUCGCCUUAAAAUAAUUGGCAGCCGGCGUAUUGAUUUCGGAGCGCAGUACAUCUCGCGCUUUGCAUUCAUAACGACAGCGUCCAAAAGUACAUUUUACACUCUUGACCUCGGAUCAGGUAGGGAUACCCGCUGAACUUAAGCAUAUCAAUAAGCGGAGGA
rnacentral:misc_RNA from 1 species